UACAAAUGACACUCGAAUAUCGUCAAUAUCGUCAUCGAUGUGAAAAAGCAGCAAAUAUUUACAGAGAACACGUUUUUUCCGCGAAGAAUGACUAAGCAGUUUUUCCUCAUGGAGAAAAUGUAUAACGGGAUCUACUUAUGUACAUGUAAGAAUAAGAUAACCCAUCUGCGCUCGGACGAAAUUAUAUAAAGGCCUCACAUCUCACAUACUUUGAAAUAAAAUUAAGUUAAAUUACGCAAAUUAUCGAGUAAAAAUUCCGAUGUGUACGCAGUAAAGGCCAUUAAAUUGAAAGAACCGUUUCUGAUACCGGAACUUAAAGAAGGAAAAGUUGAAGCCAGAGAUUUACAAGUUAAAUUGAAAAUGAACAAUGUUAAAGUUCUCGACGUUGGAGAUUUCACUACAAGAAAGGAAAAGAAGUGUUGUUUAACAAUAGAUUUUGAAUUCAUAAAAAUUACAGGAAUGUAUAAUAUAAGCGGUUCCAUCAAUGGAAACUCUUUUAAAGGGAAUGGAAACGCUGUAAUUACUCUGAGUGAUGUAUCCACUGAAACCAAAGUGGAUCACACAUUUCAAGAAGAAGAAGUUAAAAUCAACAACUUACAAUUCGACUUCAACUUCAAAAUGUUAGAGUUCGAACAAACAGGAUUGGUCAUAAAAGACGUCCCCAGCACAGAAGUUAGAAGAAUUCUGAAUGCAGUUGGAAAAGUGUACUUUAAACAGAACAUGAAAACAAUUUCGCGUAAAUUAUCUGCAACAGUACGAGAUAGAUUCAAUGAACUUUUGAAAGGCAAAAAUCGGGACCAAAUUGUGGAAUUAUUACAUCGAGGUCAUUUCAAAUUGUAACAUUACAAAUUACAAAAUUUUGUAAUUUU